rnacentral:rRNA from 1 species
UACGUAGGGCGCAAGCGUUGUCCGGAAUUAUUGGGCGUAAAGAGCUCGUAGGCGGUCUGUUACGUCCGCUGUGAAAACCCAGGGCUUAACCCUGGGCUUGCAGUGGAUACGGGUAGACUAGAGGCAGGUAGGGGAGAAUGGAAUUCCCGGUGUAGCGGUGAAAUGCGCAGAUAUCGGGAGGAACACCGGUGGCGAAGGCGGUUCUCUGGGCCUGACCUGACGCUGAGGCGCGAAAGCGUGGGGAGCAAACGGG